rnacentral:rRNA from 1 species
GGAAUAUUGGACAAUGGGCGAAAGCCUGAUCCAGCCAUGCCGCGUGAGUGAUGAAGGCCCUAGGGUUGUAAAGCUCUUUCAACGGGGAAGAUAAUGACGGUAACCGUAGAAGAAGCCCCGGCUAACUUCGUGCCAGCAGCCGCGGUAAUACGCAGGGGGCUAGCGUUGUUCGGAAGUACUGGGCGUAAAGCGCACGUAGGCGGAUUGUUUAGUUAGGGGUGAAAUCCCAGGGCUCAACCCUGGAACUGCCUCUAAUACUGGCAAUCUAGAGUCCGAGAGAGGUGAGUGGAAUUCCGAGUGUAGAGGUGAAAUUCGUAGAUAUUCGGAGGAACACCAGUGGCGAAGGCGGCUCACUGGCUCGGUACUGACGCUGAGGUGCGAAUGCGUGGGGAGCAAAC